rnacentral:misc_RNA from 1 species
GGCUUGAUGACGCCGAGAUGAAAUCAGAGACAGGUUCGCCGCGGGACCAGCCCCCUCCCCAUUACUGAUCCAGCCCAACCCCAGCCGCCUACCGGCCCGCGCAAUUAAUGUGCAGGCGUGGAGGCUGCGGGCAAAAAAAUUGGUAAUUCCGUCACAGAUAUGUAUGGUCCCGCCUGAGGAAAAAUCGGGGAGGACAAUAACAAUGCGUAAAAUUGCAAUUCUCGCAGGCG